ensembl:ncRNA H13J03.2 ncRNA
AUAUAGAGGGUGGGUGUACAUGGAAUCAACACAGUAAUUGAAUAAAUCUACACUGCACAUGAUUCUAGGGGGGGUGAACAACCACUUGAACAAGGCUCUAAGCCCAGGCGGCUCA